AUUCAAUUCAUUUGAAAAUACAUUCAAAGCAGUUAUUGUCAUUAAAGUCAAAUAAUGUCAAUUAAUCUUUCUCAUUUUCAUGUAAACAAAAAACCCCAUAUUCUCAAUAGUUUGUGCUGAGAGUCUGUUGACCAAGAUGGCACCUACUAGGGACCCAGAGCUGUCUCCCUUCUGUCACAGAUUAUAGACAUAAUAAUAACCAAUGUUAUGUCUGUAAAUAACUUUGUGCUCAAAUGUACUUUACUGCUGACUCCAGUGUUCACCGAAUGCCUACGAGACAUACCCACCCAAGCAAGUUUUUCUAUUCUAGAACUUACGAGCUCUUCCUGAACGGCGGGACCCCCUAUGAGAAAGGCGUGGAAGUGGACCCUUCCGUGUCCAGGAGAGCACACAGCAGUGUUUUCCAUCAGAUGCUGACCAUGCGAAGGCAGCCUCAACUUCUGGUGAAACUGAGGUCUCUGAACCAAAGAUCGAGAAACAUCCUGAGGGGUGUCUGUGCUAAAAUGGAAACACAAAGGUUACAGCACGGCGGAGUCUGGAAGUACACACCUCAAAUGUGUAUCGGAAGCUUACUGUGGCCACUUGCUUCCUGCCAGAAACCUUGGUUGGAAGUAUGUGCUGCUCCCACCUGCUGGUAUUUUAUCGGCAGAUUCUUGGAGAUGCGCUGCUGA
rnacentral:lncRNA from 1 species